AGUGAACGCUGGCGGUAGGCCUAACACAUGCAAGUCGAACGGCAGCACCGUAAGAGCUUGCUCUUACGGGUGGCGAGUGGCGGACGGGUGAGGAAUACAUCGGAAUCUACUUUUUCGUGGGGGAUAACGUAGGGAAACUUACGCUAAUACCGCAUACGACCUACGGGUGAAAGCAGGGGAUCUUCGGACCUUGCGCGAUUGAAUGAGCCGAUGUCGGAUUAGCUAGUUGGCGGGGUAAAGGCCCACCAAGGCGACGGUCCGUAGCUGGUCUGAGAGGAUGAUCAGCCACACUGGAACGGAGACACGGUCCAAACUCCUACGGGAGGCAGCAGUGAGGAAUAUUGGACAAUGGGCGCAAGCCUAAUCCAGCCAUACCGCGUGAGUGAAGAAGGCCUUCGGGUUGUAAAGCCCUUUUGUUGGGAAAGAAAAGCAGCAGGUUAAUACCCCGCUGUUCUGACGGUACCCAAAGAAUAAGCACCGGCUAACUUCGUG
rnacentral:rRNA from 1 species